UACGGGGGGGGCAAGCGUUGUUCGGAAUUACUGGGCGUAAAGGGCGCGUAGGCGGUCAGACCAAGUCGAAUGUGAAAUUCCAGAGCUUAACUCUGGACGGUCGUUCGAUACUGGUCGGCUAGAGUGUGGAAGAGGAUGUCGGAAUUCCCGGUGUAGUGGUGAAAUGCGUAGAUAUCGGGAGGAACACCAGUGGCGCAAGCGGCUGACUGGCCGAGACCUGACGCUGAGACGCGACGGCGUGGGGAGCAAACCGG
rnacentral:rRNA from 1 species